AGGCUGAUCGUGCGGAGCUGACCCACUGCAUCCUGCUGCAGGCCCGGAUCUGCCCAGAGGAAAUGGUCCUGUUUCUGCAGUCACAGCUGGGCGAGGACUGGGAGGCUGGACGCGUGGCAGCACUGGGUCUGCUCGGUGCUCUGGCUCGCUCUGAUGAGCCCGUGAUGAUGGAGAAGCUGCCCCAGGUGGUUGAGGCUGUGCAGUGUCUGUGCAGCGACCUCAGGAUCCGGGUGAGCUGCUUUGGGAAAAGAAAGCUCUUUUGGGGUGGUGAUGCUGCUGCCAACACGGGCAGGGCUGGGGUGACUAGAGAGGUGCUGGGGCAUU